rnacentral:tRNA from 1 species
CGAGAGGUAGCUUAAGUAUCUAAAGCACGAAAUUCUUACUUUUGUGAUGGGGCUUAUCCCCCGUUUCGG